GAUGAACGCUGGCGGCGUGCCUAACUCAUGCAAGUCGAGCGAUCUUCUUCGGAAGAGAGCGGCGGACGGGUGAGUAACGCGUGGGUAACCUGCCCUGUACACACGGAUAACAUACCGAAAGGUAUGCUAAUACGGGAUAAUAUGCUUUUAUCGCAUGGUAGAAGUAUCAAAGCUCCGGCGGUACAGGAUGGACCCGCGUCUGAUUAGCUAGUUGGUAAGGUAACGGCUUACCAAGGCGACGAUCAGUAGCCGACCUGAGAGGGUGAUCGGCCACAUUGGAACUGAGACACGGUCCAAACUCCUACGGGAGGCAGCAGUGGGGAAUAUUGCACAAUGGGCGAAAGCCUGAUGCAGCAACGCCGCGUGAGCGAUGAAGGCCUUCGGGUCGUAAAGCUCUGUCCUCAAGGAAGAUAAUGACGGUACUUGAGGAGGAAGCCCCGGCUAACUACGUGCCAGCAGCCGCCGUAA
rnacentral:rRNA from 1 species